UCUUGCUCUGUCGCCCAGGCUGGAGAGCAGAGGCGCGAUCUCGGCUCACUGCAAGCUCUGCCUCCUGGGUUCAUGCCAUUCUUCUGCCUCAGCCUCCCGAGUAGCUGGGACUACAGGCGCCUGCCACCACGCCCAGCUAAUUUUUUGUAUUUUUAGUAGAGACGAGGUUUCACCGUGUUAGCUGGAAUGGUCUCCUGACUUUGUGAUCCGCCUGCCUCUGCCUCCCAAAGUGCUGGGAUUACAGGCGUGAGCCACCGCGCGCAGCCGCCUGGCUCUGUUUUUUCAGGUUAUGUCUCCUAAUGUAUCCCACUACUGCCUCCUCCAGAACUGCUUCCCUCUUCUCACCUGGGAAGGAGCAUCUCUGUGUGUCUGUAUUUUCAGUCCCUGGAACAUCUGGCAGCCAUGGCUCUUCCUCUCUCUCCAGCUAGAAGAUCAGGUCAGGUUUGAGGCCUGAAAAUUCUGCUGGCAGAGAUGGAAACACAACACGUGCAUUUCUGCUGAGAACCAAAGCCUACGGUCUGCAGAGAGCAGGCAGAGAGAUUCAGCUGGACCAGGUAGGAAGGCCCAGGAUGGUGGAAUAGGUAGGGGCUCUAAAGAUAAAACUAUGUCCGGGGUGGGGAGGGAUGAGGGUGAGUCAUGGCUGAGGGAGAAAGAAGGGGAAAGGGAGAAAAGAGUGCAAGGUGAUUAAGAGGUUCAGACUCUGGCUGGGUGCAGUGCUCAUGCCUGUAAGGUUCAGGCUCUGGCUGGGAGUAGGGGCUUAUGCCUGUAAGGUUCAGACUCUUGCUGGGAGUAGGGGCUUAUGCCUAUAAGGUUCAGACUCUGGCUGGGUGCAGUGACUCAUGCCUGUAAGGUUCAGACUCUGGCUGGGUACAAUGACUCAUGCCUGUACGGUUCAGACUCUGGCUGAGUACAAUGACUCAUGCCUAUAAUCCCAGCACUUUGGAGGCUGAGGCAGGAGGAUCACUUGAGCCCAGGAGUUCGAGACCAGCCUGGGCAACAGAGUGAGACCCUGUCUCUACAAAGAACCAAAAAAAUUACCCAGGCGUGGUGGCUCGUGCCUGUAGUCCCAGCUACAUGGGAAGCAGAGGUGGGAGGGUCACUUGAGCCUGGGAGGUUGAGGCUGCAGUGAGCCAUGAUUGUGCCACUGCACUCCAGCCUGGGCAACAGAGUGAAAUCCUGUCUCAAAAGAAAAAAGAAAAGAAAAGAAAAAAAAAUUCAGAUUCAUCAGGACUAUACCAAAUCAUGCUGGGGAGACAGCAAGUCCUGCCAAGCAUGAGUGGAAUUCCAUGGUGCAACAUCUAUAGGGAACUUGGAGAGAGGGGCUACCUCAGGCCCAGCCUCUUUCCUCCCUGUGGAGCUCAGGUCUGUCACGUGGAGAAAGGGUCUAGUUUCUAGGUCUAGAAAGGAUGUGGAAUUGCCCUCAUUCUCAACAAGUGAAGUACUCAGAGAGCCUGGAGAGGGGCAGGGGAGAGGGCAGAGCCUACCCAGCCAGGUCAAGUUCCCACAGUUCUCCAGCCGCCUUUUGGUGAAGAGCUAGAUGCAUCCAUUUCCUCCUUGUGAAAUAUGCAGCCACGUCAUCAAAUGUCACUGACCCCUGAAAUAAUACGUGGGUGUGGGGAAAAAGGCACUGCUAGAGAUCAAUUUAAGACAAGGCAAAAAUAGUUUUGUUUUUUUUUAAGAGAUGGAGUCUCGCUCUUUCGCCCAGGCUGGACUGCAGUGGCGCUAUCUCGGCUCACUGCAAGCUCCGCCUCCCGGGUUCAUGCCAUUCUCCUGCCUCAGUCUCCUGAGUAGCUGGGAUUACAGGCGCCCGCCACCGUGCCCGGCUAAUUUUUUUGUAUUUUUAGUAGAGACGGGGUUUCACCGCGUUAGCCAACAUGGUCUCAAUCUCCUGACCUCGUGAUCCGCCCGCCUCGGCCUCCCAAAGUGCUGGGAUGGGUCCACCGGCUGCCGCGCCCGGCCAAAAAUACUUUUAAGUUACAGAAAAAAAUAGAUGGAAUUCACUACCCUCAGUAAUGUAACUGGGAUCAAGCAGAGUGAUAAAAAUUACUGGAGGCAAAUAAAUACAGUUAUGAUUUCUUUUUUUUUUUGAGACGGAGUCUUGCUCUAUUGCUAGGCUGGAGUGCAGUGGUGCGAUCUUGGCUCACUGCAACCCCCGCCUCCCGGGUUCAAGCGAUUCCCCUGCCUCAGCCUCCCCAAGUAGCUGGGAUUACAGGUGCACGCCAGCACUCCCGGCUAAUUAUUUGUGUUUUACUAGAGAUGGGGUUUCACCAUGUUGGCCAGGAUGGUCUCGAUCUCCUGACCUUGUGAUUCACCUGCCUCGGCUUCCCAAAGUGCUGGGAUUACAGGCGUGAGCCACCGCGCCUGGCCACAGUAUGGUUUUAUUGCUUAUCUUCUGUACUCACCUUUUGCUUCUCCAAGCCCCAGCUGGAAGAAACAAAUCUGGUGUUCCCUGACUCUGCACCACCCAAGUCAGGGUGGUUCAGUCCCCCAGCUUCGACAGAAGAACCACAUCACUCAGGCCCACAAUUCCCCAAACCACAGGAAGAGCAACCAGGUUUUAGGCCCUGGUGAUGGGACAGGUGGCCAUGAGGCCUCCUGUGUAAACCUGGAACUUGGGAAGAGGCCUUGGAGCAACCGGCUACACCCAGAAGCUCCCACCCCAGCUCACGGGUGAAGGGCCAGUGGAACAGGAGAAGCUCCCACCCCAGCUCACGGGGGAAGGGCCAGUGGAACAGGGAUGUGUUCUUCCUACAGAAAGCCUUGUGACUUCCUGCCCUUUCAGUAAAGGCUUUUGUGCAUUCUACUGGAAUGUCAGGUAUCAAACCACUACCGCCACCGCAUAGCCCUUGCCCGCCUGCAGUCGGCCUUCUGGUCCGUCUGACGCAGUCGAACUCUGCAGCGUUCACCUUGCUUCCUAUCUUGUUUUGCUUCCAACUUUCCAUUACAAAAAACUUCCAACAUAGAGAAUAUUAACAACUACUUCCGACCGGGCGCGGUGGCUCACACCUGUAAUCCCAGCACUUUCGGAGGCUAAGGAGGGUGGA
rnacentral:lncRNA from 1 species